AUGGCGGGCGCUCUCGCAAUAGCCGCCGCCGCUGGUUCUUACGAUCGCGAUUGGGCGGGGCUACCGGAGGAAAUACUCCUCAUGUUCAUGCAGGAGCUGGAGAUCCCCGACCUCGUCCGCUCAGGUGCUGUCUGCGCCUCGUGGCAUGCUGCUUACCUAGACGUCCGCCGCCAUCGCUUCCCCCUUCCGAUCCCCCGGAAUCAGCUGCCCUGCCUGCUCUACGCAUGCCGCGAUUCCGCCGCAGACGGCGCCGUCGUAUGCUGCCCCUUCACCGGGGAUUCCGUCCGAGUCCCCCUGCCGCAGCCCCCGCUCACCCGCCACUCCACCAUCGGCUCCGCGCACGGUUGGCUCGUCACCGCUGACGAGGCCUCCAACCUCCACGUCCUCAAUCCAAUCACGGGCGCCCACGCCGCGCUCCCGCCCAUCACCACCCUCCACCAUGUCGAGAGCUGUACCGACGCCGAAGGCCGCCUCAUGUACAAUGUCUUUGAGGGCGGUGAUCCGGAGCCGAUCCCCUUUGACGCGCGCGAGGCCAGGGAUUGCAUGUACCACCGUGUUACCCUCUCCUGCAGCCCGGCGGCUGGGAGCGCUUGCAUCGUGCUGCUGGUGCACAUGCCAGACGGCGAGCUCUCUUACGCCCGGCUCGGUGACGAGCGGUGGACGUUGAUCUCGCCCGACGACCACCAGCUCAUGGGCAUCAGUUGGGGCUUCAUGGACUCUUUCUACAAUGAGGAUGAUGGUUUGUUCUAUGUGCUUCGUAGCCACAGAUCGGUUUUCACCCUAAAUUUCAAUGGCCCAUUCCUUGUUGUUAAAAAGAUCAUGCGCAGAGAUAGGAAGGGAAAUGAUCCUUCUAGCAUGUACAUCCUGCAAGCUCCAUGGGGUGAUAUUUUGCAAAUAUGGAGGUGGAGGAGCUACGUCGAUUCAUCAACACCCGUGGAGCUUCCUGGAGAUCUGCUGGGUCACAACGAAGAUGACAUAGACCGGUAUAUUGAGCUGAGAACAACUGAAAUAGAGAUCUAUAAGGUUGACCUUGAGAACCAGACACUUGUGAAGAUGACAAGCUUAGCAGGUCAUGCACUAUUCCUUGGUUAUAAUAGCACCAUGUGUUUUGCCACUAAAGAUUUUCCAACAUUGAAGCCAAACUGUGUCUAUAUCACGGAUGACUCUUAUGAGUAUGUCAACAUCGGUAAGCAUAACUGGGCGACAAAUCGGAGUUUGGGAUAUAGAAAACAAGAGUCUGCAGACUUUUGA
rnacentral:rRNA from 1 species